rnacentral:rRNA from 1 species
GACGAACGCUGGCGGCGUGCCUAAUACAUGCAAGUAGAACGCUGAAGGAGGAGCUUGCUUCUCUGGAUGAGUUGCGAACGGGUGAGUAACGCGUAGGUAACCUGCCUGGUAGCGGGGGAUAACUAUUGGAAACGAUAGCUAAUACCGCAUAAGAGUAGAUGUUGCAUGACAUUUGCUUAAAAGGUGCAAUUGCAUCACUACCAGAUGGACCUGCGUUGUAUUAGCUAGUUGGUGGGGUAACGGCUCACCAAGGCGACGAUACAUAGCCGACCUGAGAGGGUGAUCGGCCACACUGGGACUGAGACACGGCCUAGACUCCUACGGGAGGCAGCAGUAGGGAAUCUUCGGCAAUGGACGGAAGUCUGACCGAGCAACGCCGCGUGAGUGAAGAAGGUUGUCGGAUCGUAAAGCUCUGUUGUAAGAGAAGAACGAGUGUGAGAGUGGAAAGUUCACACUGUGACGGUAUCUUACCAGAAAGGGACGGCUAACUACGUG